UUUUUUUUUUUUUUUUUUAUUAAACUAUAUACAUAUGUACAUGCUUCAACUUCUACCACCUUUCAAGGAUAGUAACGUUUCAGGAACUUGCCGUUGAUAGGCCCAACUCUGACGUUGUCAUCAGAAAGAAUCCUGUAUGCUCCGUUUGUGUAGACUUCCUUGACAACAUAUGGGCCAUCCCACCUUGAUACGAAUUUGUUUCCAACACGAUGAGUGACAACGAUUGGCCUCCUCACAGCGAGGACCAAAUCUCCAACUUGAAAAGAACGCACUCGCACCGUCUUGUUGAAAGACUUUGAGAGGCGAGCUUGGUAGCAUUCUAACUUUUGCUGAGCUUCCAGCCUUUUCUCAUCUAGAGCUUCGAGUUCCUCCAGACGCAGACG
rnacentral:lncRNA from 1 species